GACGAACGCUGGCGGCGUGCUUAACACAUGCAAGUCGAACGAAGUGGCGAACGGGUGAGUAACGCGUAAUCAACCUGCCCUUCAGAGGGGGACAACAGUUGGAAACGACUGCUAAUACCGCAUACUGAAGGAGGAGAUUGCGUCUGAAUAGCUAGUUGGAGGGGGAACGGCCCACCAAGGCGAUGAUGAGUAGCCGGUCUGAGAGGAUGGACCGGCACAUUGGGACUUGGAAACGGCCCCGGCCUCUACGGGAGGCAAGAGUGGGUAAUCUUUCGGCAUGGACGAAAGUCUGACGGAGCAACGCCGCGGUGGUGAUGACAGCCUUCGGGUUGUAAAGCUCUGUUAAUCGGGACGCGGUACCGAAAUAGAAAGCCACGGCUAACUACGUGCCAGCAGCCGCGGUAAUAC
rnacentral:rRNA from 1 species